UACAGAGGUCUCAAGCGUUGUUCGGAUUCAUUGGGCGUAAAGGGCUCGUAGGCGGUCUGUCGCGUCGGGAGUGAAAACUCAGGGCUUAACCCUGAGCCUGCUUCCGAUACGGGCAGACUAGAGGUAUGCAGGGGAGAACGGAAUCCCUGGUGUAGCGGUGAAAUGCGCAGAUAUCAGGAGGAACACCGGUGGCGAAGGCGGUUCUCUGGGCAUUACCUGACGCUGAGGAGCGAAAGCCAGGGGAGCAAACGGG
rnacentral:rRNA from 1 species